rnacentral:misc_RNA from 1 species
CAGAUUACUCAAGUUGCCAUC